AGAACCUCUGAUGAAUGAAUUAUUAACUAAAUAAUAAAUCAAUGACUCUUUAAUCAACAUUAAAGGGACUUUAUAAAGAGAGUCAAAGAGUGAUUGAAAUUGUAGGGAGGGAAGCGGAUGGGGGCUGGUGGUGCGCCUUGGUCAGAUAUGGAAAGUGAUGAGUCGGUCCGCUGAUCGACUCUGGGAGUGGACCAGCAUGGAUUGGGGGAGAGAAAAAGGCCCAAGCUCUCGAUACGCCUAUGGAAUGUCGUCUCCUCAAUUGUGGUAGGCAACAUGCGCCUCUGGCGUACUACGACAUCUACGUGCUCUAGAUGCUGGCCUUUGGGCUCCCUGUUUGACAUGUCUUGAAAGACGAACUAAGGGGUCUGAUAUGUGUUCGAGUCAACGGGUACGUAAAUCUGUAAGCCGUAAGGAAGAUGAUUGGUGGUAUCCCCCUAAGGGGUUCACCGACGACGGACUUUGAUCUUCUAAUAAGGGUUAGUGUGUGAGCAUACCUGCCGGGACCAAAAACAUAGUGAAAUAUGCCUUAGCGAGGAGAAGCUAGAGGACACUCUGGUCGAGGACCGUAGCUAUACUGACAUGCAAAUCAUUUGUAUAACUUUGGUAUAUGGGAGAAAGACUAAUUGAACCAUCAAGUAGCUGGUUCCCUUCGAAGUUUCUCUCCGGAUAGCUGGAGCUCGCGUGCGAGUUCUAUUGGGUAAAGCGAAUUAUUAGAGGACUCGGGAGAUAAAUGCCUUCGACCAAUUCUCUAACAUUAAAUAGGUAGGACGGCGCGACUAUUUUGUUGAUCCAUGCCAUAUAAUCAAAAUCUACAACUUUGUCAUUUUUUAUAUUCAGAAUUGGCGAUGCGGGAUGAAUUAGAAGCCGGGUUAUUGUUCCAAACUGCGUGCUAACCUAGAUCCCACAAAGGGUGUUUGUCGAUUAAGAAAGCAGCACGGUGGUCAUGGAAGUAGAAAUCCGCUAAGGAGUGUGUAACAACUCACUAGCCGAAUCAACUAGCCCUGAAAAUUGAUGGCAAUUAAGCAAGAUGAGUAGGAGGGCGUGGCGGUCGCUGUAAAACCUUGGGCGUGAUACUAGGCGCAGUGCUCAUCGGUGCAAAUCUUGGUGGUAGUCACCAAUAUUCAAAUGAGAACUUUGAAGUCCAAAGAGGGGAAAUGUUCCAUGUGAAUGGAACUUGCACAUGCGUUAGUCGAUCCUAAUAUUUGGGGUAGCCCCGACAAAUAGCAUGUUUCGCGCAUACUCUGUAAGGGAAUAAGGUUAAAUUUUCUGAAAGGUGAUGUGGUGGUUGACGCUAAAGUUAAAAAGUGAGGAGACGUCGGUGGGAGUCUCGGGAAGAGUUAUAUUUUCUAUUUAAUAGCCUACCCACCCUGGAUUCGACUCACCCAAAGGUAGGGUCCAGUAGCUGGAAGAGCAACGCACGUUGCGUGGUGUACGGUACACUCCCAGAGGCCCUUUAAAAUAAGAAGGAUUGAAUUUCAUCCAUGCCCGAUUGUACUCAUAACCACAUCAGGUCUCCAAGGUGAACUACCUCUAGUCGAUGUAACAAUGUAGACAAGGGUAGUCGGCAAAAUGGAUGCAUAACUUUGGGAAAUGGUUUGGCUUUAAGGGUAGGGCUCAAGGGUCCCACUCCCUAACCUGUCAGCUGUCGGUGGACUGCUCGAGCUGCUCCUACAGCGAGAGCGGGUCACCCCAUGCUGGCCGGGGGACGAAUUGGGAAUGGUUCCUUUUGGUGCCUUCCCUGGGCAUCGAAAAGCAAACUCAAUACUAGUAAGUACAAGGUGAUUUCGACUAUUUAAUUACAACAAAGCUUUCGAUUGUCCCAACGGAUGUUUACUCAAUGUGAUUUUUGCCUAGACUUUUAAUGUUUAAGUGAAGAAAUUCAACCAAACUCGUGUAAAUGGCGAGAGUAACUAUGGUUGUCUUAAGGUAUCCAAAUGCCUCGUUAUCUCAUUAGUGACGCACAUGAAUGGAUUAACGAGAUUCCCAUUGUUCCUAUCUACUAUGCAUCAAAACCAUAGCCAACGGAACGAGCUUGGCAAAAUAAGCGGAGAAAGAAGACCCUAUUGAGCAUAAUUCUACUCCGACUUGGUGAAAUGACAUGAGAGGUAUAGCAUAAGAUAGAGAUGAAAGGCAAAAGUGAAAUACCUCUACUUUUAACGUUAUUUUACUUAUUCCGUGAAUCAGAAGUUGGGCACUUCCCCUCUUUUUGGACCCAAGUCUCGCUUUGCGGGCUAAUCUGGGCGGAAGACAUUGUCAGGUGAGGAGUUUGGCUGUGGCGGCACAGCUUGUUAAAGAUAACGCAAGUGUCCUAAGAUGAGAUGAACGAGAACAAAGAUCUCGUCUGGGACAGAAGGUUCAAAUCUCAUUUGAUUAUGAUUUCCAGUACGAAUAAGAACUGCGAAAGCAAGGCCUAACAAUCCUGUAGACCAUUGGAAUUCGAUGCUAGCGCGGGGAUAACUCGCCUGUGGUAGCCAAGCGUUCAUAGGGACGUUGCUUUUUUAUCCUUCGAUGUCCGCUCUUUCAAUCAUUGUGAACCAGAAUUCAGCAAGUGUUGGAUUGUGCACCAACCAUUAUGAAACGUGAGCUGGGUUUAGACCGUCUUGAGACAGGUUAGUUUUACCCUACUGAUGACAGUGUCGCAAUAGUAAUUCAACCUAGUACGAGAGGAAUUGUUGAUUCAAAUAAUUGGCCAUCGCUCAUGGUUUAAAAGGCCGUGGCGCGAAGCUACCAUGUGCUGGAUUAUUAGUGAAUGCCUCUAAGUAAGAAUUCGAACUACAAGUGAAGCAUGAGUCCCUUGUCCGCUUGCCGAACCGUAGUGGGGGCCUCUAACCCCUAAAGGUACGUGUUGUUAGCUAAGUCUCCGUGACGGAAGCGACGCGCUGACUGUGUUGAAGUACAAUUUCCAUUGAGCGGUAGGUAGAAUCCUUUUUUUAGAUGACUUAAAUAUGCAACUGGGUAUUGUUAUUAGCAGAGUGGACUUGCUACUACAAUCCACUAAGAAUCAUCCCUUUGUCGCUCCGAUUCGU
rnacentral:rRNA from 1 species